GGCGCGCCUAACACAUGCAAGUCGAACGAGAGGCCGUAGCAAUACGGUCGUACAGUGGCGAACGGGUGAGGAAGACGUGGGUAACCUACCCUCGAGUGGGGAAUAACCCGCCGAAAGGCGGGCUAAUACCGCGUACGCUUCUGUUCCUUCGGGGACGGAAGGAAAGCUGUGCCGUGGGCAUGGCGCUCAAGGAUGGGCUCACGCCCUAUCAGCUUGUUGGUAGGGUAACGGCCUACCAAGGCAACGACGGGUAGCUGGUCUGAGAGGACGAUCAGCCACACUGGCACUGCGACACGGGCCAGACUCCUACGGGAGGCAGCAGUGAGGAAUAUUGCGCAAUGGGCGAAAGCCUGACGCAGCGACGCCGCGUGGGGGAUGAAGGUCUUCGGAUUGUAAACCCCUUUCGGGAGGGAAGAUGGAACGGGCAACCGUUCGGACGGUACCUCCAGAAGCAGCCACGGCUAACUUCGUGCCAGCAGCCGCGGUAAUACGAAGGUGGCAAGCGUUGUUCGGAUUUACUGGGCGUAAAGGGAGCGUAGGCGGUUGGGUAAGCCCUUUGGGAAAGCUCCCGGCUUAACCGGGAAAGGUCGAAGGGGACUGCCUGGCUAGAGGGUGGGAGAGGAGCGCGGAAUUCCCGGUGUAGCGGUGAAAUGCGUAGAGAUCGGGAGGAAGGCCGGUGGCGAAGGCGGCGCUCUGGAACAUUUCUGACGCU
rnacentral:rRNA from 1 species